rnacentral:rRNA from 1 species
UGUUCAACGGCCGCGGUAUUUUAACCGUGCGAAGGUAGCGUAAUCACUUGUCUUUUAAAUGGAGACCUGUAUGAAUGGCAUUACGAGGGCUUAACUGUCUCCUUUUUCAGGUCAAUGAAAUUGAUCUCCCCGUGCAGAAGCGGGGAUAAUUCCAUAAGACGAGAAGACCCUAUGGAGCUUUAGACACCAAGGCAUAUCAUGUUACCUACCCCUAAACCCUGGGAAUUAAACCUAUUGAACUAUGCCCCUAUGUCUUCGGUUGGGGCGACCACGGGGAAAUAAAAAACCCCCGCGUGGAAUGGGAGCACUCGCUCCUGCGACCAAGAGCUGCAGCUCUAACGAACAGAAUUUUUGACCAAUAAAGAUCCGGCAACGCCGAUCAACGGACCAAGUUACCCUAGGGAUAACAGCGCAAUCCCCUUUUAGAGCCCGUAUCAACAAGGGGGUUUACGACCUCGAUGUUGGAUCAGGACAUCCUAAUGGUGCAGCCGCUAU